rnacentral:rRNA from 1 species
UACGUAGGAAGCAAGCGUUGUCCGAAAUUACUGGGUGUAAAGGAAGCGUAGGCGGGAACGCAAGUCAGAUGUGAAAUACAUGGGCUCAACCCAUGGGCUGCAUUUGAAACUGCGUUUCUUAAGUGAAGUAAAGGUAAGCGGAAUUCCUGGUGUAGCGGUGAAAUGCGUAGAUAUCAGAAGAAACACCGGUGGCGAAGGCGGCUUACUGGGCUUUUACUAACGCUAAGGCUCGAAAGCGUGGGAAGCAAAC